rnacentral:rRNA from 1 species
UACAGAGGGUGCGAGCGUUAAUCGGAAUUACUGGGCGUAAAGCGCGCGUAGGCGGCUUUGCAAGUCGGGUGUGAAAUCCCCAGGCUUAACCUGGGAACUGCAUUCGAGACUGCAUUGCUAGAGUAUGGGAGAGGGAAGUGGAAUUUCCGGUGUAGCGGUGAAAUGCGUAGAUAUCGGAAGGAACAUCAGUGGCGAAGGCGACUUCCUGGACCAAUACUGACGCUCAUGUGCGAAAGCGUGGGGAGCAAACAGG